AUUGAACGCUGGCGGCAUGCUUUACACAUGCAAGUCGAACGGUAACAGGCCUUCGGGUGCUGACGAGUGGCGAACGGGUGAGUAAUGCAUCGGAACGUACCCAGAGGUGGGGGAUAACGCAGCGAAAGCUGUGCUAAUACCGCAUGUGAUCUGAGGAUGAAAGCGGGGGACCGAGCAGCAAUGUUUGGCCUCGCGCCUUUGGAGCGGCCGAUGUCGGAUUAGCUAGUUGGUGGGGUAAAGGCCUACCAAGGCGACGAUCCGUAGCUGGUCUGAGAGGACGACCAGCCACACUGGGACUGAGACACGGCCCAGACUCCUACGGGAGGCAGCAGUGGGGAAUUUUGGACAAUGGGCGCAAGCCUGAUCCAGCAAUGCCGCGUGCGGGAAGAAGGCCUUCGUGUUGUAAACCGCUUUUGGCAGGAACGAAACGGUGUCCGCUAAUACCGGGCGCUAAUGACGGUACCUGCAGAAUAAGCACCGGCUAACUACGUG
rnacentral:rRNA from 1 species